AGCGAACGCUGGCGGCAGGCUUAACACAUGCAAGUCGAGCGGGCAUCCUUGUGGUGUCAGCGGCAGACGGGUGAGUAACGCGUGGGAACGUGCCCUUCGGUUCGGAAUAACUCAGGGAAACUUGAGCUAAUACCGGAUACGUGCGAGAGCAGAAAGGUUUAUCUGCCGAAGGAUCGGCCCGCGUCUGAUUAGCUAGUUGGUGAGGUUAUGGCUCACCAAGGCGACGAUCAGUAGCUGGUCUGAGAGGAUGAUCAGCCACACUGGGACUGAGACACGGCCCAGACUCCUACGGGAGGCAGCAGUGGGGAAUAUUGGACAAUGGGGGCAACCCUGAUCCAGCCAUGCCGCGUGAGUGAUGACGGCCUUAGGGUUGUAAAGCUCUCUUCUCCGGGACGAUAAUGACGGUACCGGAGGAAUAAGCCCCGGCUAACUUCGUG
rnacentral:rRNA from 1 species